GAGGGACUUGAGGAUGAUCUUUAAAUAGGUCAAGCAGGAGGAUGAGGAGGAUUUUCACGGAAGAAAUCUGCUUUAGCGGGCUUUGGGACCGGCUUUUCCGCGUUUUUUAAGUUCCCUGAUCUUAAAUACAACGUUGACUAAUGAGUGAAUGUUGUGUUUCAGGCAAACGAAAGCUAUCUGAUGAACGAGGAGCCCUCCAGAGGUCCUGGGAUGCCUGAAUGCUUCGUGGUGUCAGACUCUUACAGGUUAAGGCCCAUGCCAAGUCUCCCAGAGAAUCUGGGUUGCUACAGCGUGCCGAGUGUCUCAGAAGGACAGAAAUGAACCGGUCUCGCUGUAACCGAGCAGUUCGGUCGCUAAGGUGGAGAGUUUUUUCAGAGAUGGAGGGGUGUUAGAGUCUAGAGGUCAGCGGGUUCAGCAGCAUCCACGGCUCCUCGUGGGCUCUCCUCAUGGAAGCGUAGGGUCCGACUUGUUCCUGUGCUUUGUUCUUUCAAUCCGCAGCCGACACGUGAAGCUCACGCUCACACAUAACAACAUUAAACUGAUCUUUUAAUUUCCGUAUUGGAAGCAAAAAAAAGAGGUCAAUAAUCCCCAUCGGAAUUUAAAUCUAUCGUGUUUUGUUGAGAUGCAAUUUCUGUUAAUACAAAUAAAGAUUUCGCAUCACCAGCCAGCUGGGCUGAAACAGACGUCUCCACGUGUCUUUCAGGCUUCAGGGCUCAGCUUUUGCUUUUCAGAGAAUAAUUGUGGCUAAAUUAAAUGCUAAAAAUGUGGGCAUGUUUUCCUGUUUUGGCUCAAACUCUUCUGAGGUAAUGACAUGUAUGAUUUUAACACAAAAG
rnacentral:lncRNA from 1 species